rnacentral:rRNA from 1 species
ACUUAAAUUGAAGAGUUUGAUCAUGGCUCAGAUUGAACGCUGGCGGCAGGCCUAACACAUGCAAGUCGAGCGGUAGCACAGAGAGCUUGCUCUCGGGUGACGAGCGGCGGACGGGUGAGUAAUGUCUGGGAAACUGCCUGAUGGAGGGGGAUAACUACUGGAAACGGUAGCUAAUACCGCAUAACGUCGCAAGACCAAAGUGGGGGACCUUCGGGCCUCAUGCCAUCAGAUGUGCCCAGAUGGGAUUAGCUAGUAGGUGGGGUAACGGCUCACCUAGGCGACGAUCCCUAGCUGGUCUGAGAGGAUGACCAGCCACACUGGAACUGAGACACGGUCCAGACUCCUACGGGAGGCAGCAGUGGGGAAUAUUGCACAAUGGGCGCAAGCCUGAUGCAGCCAUGCCGCGUGUGUGAAGAAGGCCUUCGGGUUGUAAAGCACUUUCAGCGGGGAGGAAGGCGUUAAGGUUAAUAACCUCAUCGAUUGACGUUACCCGCAGAAGAAGCACCGGCUAACUCCGUGCCAGCAGCCGCGGUAAUACGGAGGGUGCAAGCGUUAAUCGGAAUUACUGGGCGUAAAGCGCACGCAGGCGGUCUGUCAAGUCGGAUGUGAAAUCCCCGGGCUCAACCUGGGAACUGCAUUCGAAACUGGCAGGCUAGAGUCUUGUAGAGGGGGGUAGAAUUCCAGGUGUAGCGGUGAAAUGCGUAGAGAUCUGGAGGAAUACCGGUGGCGAAGGCGGCCCCCUGGACAAAGACUGACGCUCAGGUGCGAAAGCGUGGGGAGCAAACAGGAUUAGAUACCCUGGUAGUCCACGCCGUAAACGAUGUCGAUUUGGAGGUUGUGCCCUUGAGGCGUGGCUUCCGGAGCUAACGCGUUAAAUCGACCGCCUGGGGAGUACGGCCGCAAGGUUAAAACUCAAAUGAAUUGACGGGGGCCCGCACAAGCGGUGGAGCAUGUGGUUUAAUUCGAUGCAACGCGAAGAACCUUACCUGGUCUUGACAUCCACAGAACUUUCCAGAGAUGGAUUGGUGCCUUCGGGAACUGUGAGACAGGUGCUGCAUGGCUGUCGUCAGCUCGUGUUGUGAAAUGUUGGGUUAAGUCCCGCAACGAGCGCAACCCUUAUCCUUUGUUGCCAGCGGUUCGGCCGGGAACUCAAAGGAGACUGCCAGUGAUAAACUGGAGGAAGGUGGGGAUGACGUCAAGUCAUCAUGGCCCUUACGACCAGGGCUACACACGUGCUACAAUGGCAUAUACAAAGAGAAGCGACCUCGCGAGAGCAAGCGGACCUCAUAAAGUAUGUCGUAGUCCGGAUUGGAGUCUGCAACUCGACUCCAUGAAGUCGGAAUCGCUAGUAAUCGUAGAUCAGAAUGCUACGGUGAAUACGUUCCCGGGCCUUGUACACACCGCCCGUCACACCAUGGGAGUGGGUUGCAAAAGAAGUAGGUAGCUUAACCUUCGGGAGGGCGCUUACCACUUUGUGAUUCAUGACUGGGGUGAAGUCGUAACAAGGUAACCGUAGGGGAACCUGCGGUUGGAUCACCUCCUUACCUUAAAGAA